rnacentral:lncRNA from 1 species
GUUCCCCUUCACGUGGUGGUUUGACGUGAAGUGAACCCUAAGCUUUACCCCAGGAGAUACCCUACGCGCCUCUCCGUUCGAGGUAAUAAUAUAAUGGGGUUUACCGUGCCCCUCUAAUAGGCUAGUCCACGGAACCCCCUCUGCAGUAAAUAAUUAAUAUAUAAUCCACCAAUCAAUAAAAUUCAUUCUAGGAUAACAUGGCAAUUUAUCGCAACCUAGCCUCUCAAGGCUGAAUACACAGUAUAAAUAAUUCUAACACCAAAAUCAGUUUAGCCAUUCAUGCUCAUUUAUUAUCAUAAGCCAUUCAAUUCAAAACCAUAAAUUUGCAACACAAACUAGCAGUCUCCAAUUACUCUAUUUUCAAAACCAGUAUUCAAUUUUUCAGAAAAUUUAUAAAAUCAUUUUAUAAAAUCACAAUUUCUCUUAAAACAUAGCAAUUUACCAUUUAAACCCAUUUUUCAUAAAAUCACACAGUUGUAUAAAACUACUCUAGAUAAUUAAAACGAUAAUAAGUUCACUCACAGUUCUAGGAGUCGAUGUACUCCUAAUCCCAGUCUCCAAGCACAAUCUCUGUACUUUUACCAAUGUACUUUGCUCACCACCUAUCCACAAUGUACAAUACAUAAUUCAGCACAUCAAUACUUGACCAUUAUAAAAUUAAUUCAGGCUCGAUAUAGAUGCAUGAUAUGAUAUACAACUUAUCAAACUACCGCUUAAAUGCGGUGCUGACCUAAUUCGGCCUAUUAUCUCCAAUUUAACUCCAACUCAAUUCUUCUCACUUUUUACACUCCAAUUAUACCUAAAUUACCUUAAUGACUAUGAAUGAGAUUCAAUUUAUCAUUCUCGAUAGUAAAUUACGAAAAUACCCCUAGUGGGUAAAAAUUCGUAUUUUUGCUCUGAAAAUUCUCAUUAUUUUUCUAGGCUCAUAAUUCAUCAUUUCUUAACCAUUUAUCCUAGAAUGAAAAUCAAAUUCAUCCUCACUCAACACAUGGUAAAUUCAGCCAUUAAGGGUUGUGGGAGAAAAUAAAUUAUUUUCUUGUUGUUUUGUUUCUAAAUAUGCUAAACUAACUUAAAACACUAACAUAGUCUAAAAUCAAAUUAAUCUAAUAAUUUUCUCUCUCCUAACCCAUUUUUCAGAAUUGAAUUCAUCAUAAUAACUCAAUAUUCAACCAUGGAAAUCAAGAACAAAAGCAUGGGUAAGCUAGGUAUCAAGGAGAACUAAAGAAAUUCUAACUUACCUAGCUUGUUUCCUUGAUUUCUUCACUUUUUCUUUAAAUUUUC